GUUUGUCGCGUCUGCUGUGAAAUCUGAGCUCACCUCGACUGCAGUGGGUACGGGCAGACUAGAGUGCGGUAGGGAGAAGGGAAUUCCUGGUGUAGCGUGGAAUGCGCAGAUAUCAGGAGGAACACCAAUGGCGAAGGCACUUCUCUGGGCCGUAACUGACGCUGAGGAGCGAAAGCGUGGGGAGCGAACAGGAUUAGAUACCCUGGUAGUCCACGCCGUAAACGUUGGGCGCUAGAUGUGGGUCACAUUCCACGUGAUCCGUGUCGCAGCUAACGCAUUAAGCGCCCCGCCUGGGGAGUACGGCCGCAAGACUAAAACUCAAAGGAAUUGACGGGGGCCCGCACAAGCGGCGGAGCAUGCGGAUUAAUUCGAUGCAACGCGAAGAACCUUACCAAGACUUGACAUAUUCAGGAAAACUGCAGAAAUGUAGUCCCCCGCAAGGGUCUGUUUACAGGUGGUGCAUGGUUGUCGUCAGCUCGUGUCGUGAGAUGUUGGGUUAAGUCCCGCAACGAGCGCAACCCUCGUCCUAUGUUGCCAGCACGUAAUGGUGGGAACUCAUGGGAGACUGCCGGGGUCAACUCGGAGGAAGGUGGGGAUGACGUCAAAUCAUCAUGCCCCUUAUGUCUUGGGCUUCACGCAUGCUACAAUGGCCGGUACAAAGGGCUGCAAUACCGCAAGGUGGAGCGAAUCCCAAAAAGCCGGUCUCAGUUCGGAUUGAGGUCUGCAACUCGACCUCAUGAGGUCGGAGUCGCUAGUAAUCGCAGAUCAGCAACGCUGCGGUGAAUACGUUCCCGGGCCUUGUACACACCGCCCGUCAAGUCACGAAAGUCGGUAACACCCGAAGCCGGUGGCCUAACCGUAAGGAAGGAGCCGUCUAAGGUGGGAUUGGUGAUUGGGACUAAGUCGUAACAAGGUAACC
rnacentral:rRNA from 1 species